ensembl:lncRNA
GGGAGAGUCGGCCUUGUGAAAUGUGGGAGGUGAUCUGCAGUGAAGGAUAUUGGGAUUUCAUAAGGGUUUGGCACAUUUGCUGAGUGAAUCUGGCUGCCUGCCCAGCACUGAGUUUCCUGUUCACAGUUCCCCAGAUUUGUCACUGCUGAAGGAUUAAAGCCCCGAGAGCCUCUGACACAGGCGUCUCCCAGAGCCCACUUUCUCUGGGUUGCCUGACAAGAUGUGAGCUGUUACUCGCGUGUGACACAGAUCUGACCCCAAGCUCUCUCACAGAGGGAGAGAAGAAUUCACUAUGUCUUCCGGGGCUGGCUUCAAACUUCACUUUUGGUUUUAACAACCAGCCUGAAGCUAGCAGGCUUCAUCAGAGGGGAGAAACCCUUUGGGGCUAUCCUGAGCAUUUCCAUCUCUGCCCAGACCAGCCGUCUCCAAUCCCUCGAAGAUGAAGAGCCCAGAAGGUGGUCACUGUGGAGUUGAAGAGCCAAGCUGUCCUCAGGGUCACUGGAUGGGAACCUCUGCGUCCCCUGCACUUGGCAGUACAGAAUGCAGCCCAGAAAGCCCGGUCCUCUGGGCCAGCGUGGAGGAGACAGGAGAUGUGUAGACACGCUGCGCCCUCAUGCCACCCCUCUGCUUCUGUUCCCAUGGGGCCACUUUGCCUCUACAUCUGUAGCUUUGCAGGGCUCUGCAAAAGAGGUGUGGCCUGGACUACAGCCCUGGGCUCCUGGUGGUCCUAAGCCCAGAGCUGGCCCCAUCUAGCAUGAAACAUGGCAGAGAAAUUCAGUGUAGUAUCGAUCAGACACUGAGAUCCAUCUCUAAGACAAAACUUACAAAUGGUCACCCGUGGCCAGAGUGGAGCGGGGUUCAUGAGUGUGCAUGAGUCACAGGGGAUGUUUGGGAUGAAGGCACCCACGGAAGUGCUAAUGCCCAGGAACAUGUUGACCGGAAGUGGGAAGCUGCAAGGUCAGUGGGUACUUCAGUAAGCUCCACCUCCUGGCCCCAGGAAAGGUAGCAGGGGCUGCACCUGACUGCACAGGUGAGUUCCCAGUGCUUUUCCAGACAGAACUGACCCAGUCAGGCUCAGCACAGGGCGAGCUUGUCCAGGGUCAGUUCUGGUUAAGAGAGGCAGCAGAAGGAGCCAAGUUGUGCCUGGUUCUGGGACCCUCCACAGGUACCAGAAGCUGAGGACACAGAGGCUUUUCUAUAAAAUGGUGUUGUAUUUGCACAGAAUCUACACAAUCCUCCAUAUGCUUUAAAUCAUCUCUAGAUUACUUGUAAGACUUAGGAUAAUGUAAAUGCUUCGUGCAUCCUUAGACUUUAUUGUUUGGGGAAUAAUGACAAGAAAAAAUUUGUAUAUAUUCAGUACAGAUACGUUUUUUUCUUUUGACUAUUUUUCAGUCUCCAAUUGGUUGAGUUCAGAGAUCUGGAACUUGUGGCUAUGUAGGACUAAAUGUAUUCACAAAAGUCCAGGAACUUAUUUAUAAAACUUGAAAUGUGCCUGUGUGAAUCAUAGUUGAAAUAAAUAUUUUAAGAUUCAGAGAUUUGGUUUUUCUGCAUCUGUGUGCAAUGGAUAUAAUGCUUGUAUCCCCCCACAUUCAGACAUUGGACCAUUAAUCCCAGUGUGAUGGCAUCAGGAGGUGAGUUCCUUGGAGGUGAUUUGGUUCAGAGGGUGGUGCCCCCAUAAGUGUGGUAUGCACAUUAUUAGAAGUGGCCAGAGAGCUUCUUGGCUUUCUUUUGGCCAUGCAGGGAGAAAUCAGCCAUAUGCAAACUGGAAGUGGGCCCUCCCCAGAUGCCACAUCACCAGACAUCCGGCUCCAGAACUGGGAAACAUAAAUGCUUGUUGGGUGACCCACUCAGCUUAGGGUUACUCGUUCCACAGCUAGAACGGACUAAGACACUGUGUCCAGACAGAAGUGUGACAAUGGUGUGACUAACACUUCAGUGAGGGUUUUAGAAAGUUUUAUGUCAGAUAUCCCUAGGAUCAGUGGAUGCAUGAGUGAUGACAUCGAGGUGGCAGCACGUGCAUGCUAUAUGGGGACGCUGUCUUCGCUUUCACUGGAGUGGAACAUGCUUACAAGUUGUCCCUGUCUCUUAUGGAAAGAUGCUGACUGUCUUCACCUUGAGCUCCUCCUUGUCUCGGGUCAGCCGUGUUGCUUUGGAUGACUGGGGCAUUUAUGCCAAGAAUGAAUCCCAACUCCGGCCACAAAACCAGCACAUUCCAGAGCUGCAAUUACACCCCCAGGGUUGGUUGGCUGUGGCUUCUCUAAUUUCAUCCCUAGAGUCAGAGAGAGGGCAAGACCUGACUGGAAAUCCUGGGACAACUCUUCUGAGACUUGUUCUUGCCUGGAGUGUAUUUGCUGCCCUGAGCUCUGUGGCUGUGUUCUGUGCUGAUCUGCAGCCUUCCAGGCUCCAAGGCACCAACCUUGCUCAGCUGCCUGCACUGCUUGCCUUACCUGACAGCUCUGGGACAAACCGGGACCAGCAGUCACUCACCCUUCCCGCCUCACCUGGGGGCCUUCCAGACAGCACCCUUGUUCCUUACACAGGUGUUAUAAUUUCCAAUUUUCCCUGAGGAAAUUGAGGCUUAGUUACUAGCCCAGUUUCUUCUGGUCCUGAUAAAUAAAUAGCAGAGUCAGGAUUUGAACCAGGAUCUGUUGGACCCCAGAACUUUCUCCCUUAUUAAUGUGUUGAAGCGAUAAGACAUCGGAGGACAGGACACACUGGGUUAUAGACUAGUUCUUUUGAGGUGUACAAAUGGUUGUCGAUAUAUGACAGGGUUAUGUCCUGAGAAACCCAUUGUAAACUAAAACCAUCUAGAGUUAAAAUGCAUUUAAUCCACUCAACACAUCGAAUAUCAUCACUUCGCAGAAGCACCUGGUGUCGGGUGUGGGCUGUUUUCCCAAGUAAUCAUGGGGCUGACUGGGAGCUUCACAGGAGUAUCAUACUGCUUGUUGCUUGCCCAGAGAAUGAUCCAAAUUCACAGCUCGAAGUAUGGCUUCUGCUGAAUGCAUGUUGCUUUUGUGCCACCAAAAAGUAAAACAAUCUUAAAGUGAACCAUUGGAGACCAGGGAUGUCUGUAUUUCAAGGGGCCUUUGUCUGAGCCCUAAGAGUUGAUUCAUGUCAGCCAUGGGAUUCAGGAACCUCUAGGAAAUACUGUACCAUCCACAUUCCCACUGUUAUCUCCAAGCUGGUUUUUAUGAAAGCUUUCUGGGAAAGCUUUGUUUUAUUUUAGCUUUUGAGGUGAUCAGGUGUAGAGACUUUGAUAACUUUGAUCAUGAUUUAAACCAAAAUCAAUACAGAUAAAAUAAAUAUAACAAGAAAGCACAGGACUUAAGCUAUUUUUCUGCAACUGUCCAACAGACUCUGUUGGAAGUGGUAGGAGAAAUCUGGUUUCACAAAUAGCAAGUGAAAGAACAAUCUGUAAAACCCUACAGAAAGCUUCACAGAUUUUCGUCCCUGGAGGGAAAAUAUCCAAUUAUGGUCAGCAGAAAUAGAAUUCGUACUGAAACUUACUUGGCUUUGAACAUCUCAUGUGAAUGCACUGUGACUACCGCUUUGAGCAAGGUUUGGGUAUUUCUCUCUCGGCACGGCAGUUCCUGAGCUGACUCAUGGGGUGGAGAGAAGGUUACAUUUUUUACUAUUGUGAUAAUGUGGGAAAUUACACCCCACAUCAUUCACCAUGUCUAAAUAGAUCAUUAGCCUUUGACUCUGAGAUUCAGUUAAGGGUAAGGUCAGAAUUCUAAACCUUUUUCCCAGCUGAAAAUUUUUAAAAAUUUGGAAAGGUUAUGUGGCUUGGUGUAUAGAAAGUAGGUUCCUAGGACAGGGAGAGAUGUUGGGAGCUAGGGUGCCAGCAGGUACUUCCUUUGGUCGGUCUCAAUCUCAUGUCCUGAUGGUGAUUGUUCUCAGGAAAUGUGGGGCGUGUAAGGCCUGCAGCUGAACUCUUCAUUUCCUGGCUGGAGUCUGCCAGGAAUGUGUAGAAAAUAGGCUGCCUCAGUGGACCCACUGAGGUCCAUGAAAAUAGCAUCUGAUCAUGCAGGAAGCAGUCACUGUCUGUCUUGUAGGUAGUGGUUGUCAAUGCUGGCUGUGUGAUGGAGUCAGCUGGGGAGCCUUGAAAAUACUGAUGUGUGGGACCCCACCCCGGAGUUUCUGGAGCGAUGGGUCUGGGUGCAUCCUGGGCUAUAAAAGUCCUGUGCUCAUGCUGUACAGCUAGAGCAUUUACCUGUGAAGUAGACAGUUAUCAGGUCAGUCAGUUACCCAAGGAAACAAGAAGCUGGCUGGCUCAGUCCUGUCUGGAAUGAUGCCAAGUCCCUCCUGCUAGGAGAAUUCAGGUCCAGUUCCCAGGAAGCCUUGUCUCUCAGGAAGUUAUGAAAGGCUCUCCACUUCCAAGUGUGUUUUCAAUUUUCUAAGGCAUAAGGAGUAUACACAUAGCCACAUUUAGUUAGCAAAUAUUUGAACAUCUGCUCUGUUCACACUGCAGUCAAGCAGAGUGGGAGCAUAUCUUUAAGCACCUUGAAUAAGUGCAGGCGAGAGAUUCUUCUAGGGCAAAGCAGGGGUCACCAAGUGCUAUCGGAUGGAUGGGGAGUGAGAAGCCCCAGGGUUUCAGAGCAAGGAUCACCUGGUGGUGAAGUCUUAGGAAGAAGUGAGAGUCUCCAGGGUGAGGAGGGCAGAGGAGGACCUGAGCUGUGGAGGAAGAGGGACAGUGGGCAGGGAGGAAGCUGCCUGACCAGGGAGAGCAGAGUGUGGAGAAUCUCAUGAGGAGAGCGUAGUCAGCAGGGGCAUCCAGCUGAGCAGAGCGGGAGCCAGUGGUCACCAGGGAAGGACAGAGAGAGAGCAAGCGGGCCUGGAAGGCCGGGUGGUGAGGUCUGAGAUUCCCUCAGGAGGCGCAGGGUGACCUGCCUGGCAGGUUGCAACUUCCGAGGUUGAGAUAAAAGACAAGCAGGAGCUUGGCACUAUUUAUCCAGCAAAUCUGGAUUGCUAAGGAAAAUGAAAGGUGUUUUGCUUCACUGACCCAUUUAAUAAGUGGAAAGGAAGCCCAGAGUGGUCAAACCUUGCCUCCUCCGUCUCCUACUCCUUUUCCUCCUCAGUAUGGCCUGGACUCAGUGGGGAGCCCAUGCAUCUCUCUCCCUUUCCUUAACUACUUCUUCUUCUUCUUCUACUUCUUUUUUUUUUGAGACAAGUUCUCGCUAUGUCAUUCAGUUCAGACUGAUCUUGAACUCACUAUGUAGCCCAGGCUGGCCUUGAACUUGCAGUGAUCCUCCUGCCUCAGCCUUCCGAGUGCUGGGAUUACAGGUGUGCACCACCACGACAGGUUCUUUCCCUAACUUCUGACACUGUCUCUUCCCCUCCUCAACCACUUCCUGAAAAAGAAGCUGACAUCACAGGUAGCAACAGGAAACCCAAAGACAGAAAGCAGAAGCUGAGUGCAACGAGGUGAGGGGACAGAGCCCUAAGUAUCUCACACCUUUGGGGCUGUGACAGCUGCUUCAUCUCCUUCCCCAAAUAUAAAGAUAAGAUGUAAGAGCCAGAUUUGAGCAUAAGUGGGCACCCCUCUGCACGCAACAGGUCUGGGUUAAUUUUAUUGCAUCUAAAUGCUUUUCAAUGGAUUUUUAUUUAUAAAAAUGUCUGUGAGUCACCAUUGAUAAUUUAGCCUAAAAGAGGGUAGAGAGAGUUUGAUUUUCCUAUAACUGAGAUCACUUUCUGUCUCAUUUUAAGUGAUCAAAAAGUAUUUAUUGAGUGGCUGGGGAUUUAGCUCAGUGGUUCCAUCAUCUGCCUCACUAAUGAAAGGUUCCAAGUUCGAUCCCUGGUACCCUCCCUCCCAAAAGCAUUUAUUGAGUAGUUUGUACUAUAUGAGAAAUCUUAGAGACAGUGGUGGUGCAUGCCUAUAAUCUCACUACUCAGGAGGCUGAGACAGGAGGAUUGCCACAAGUUCAAGGCCAAUUUUACAUAGCAAGAACCUGUCUCAAACACCACCAACUAUAACAGCAACAAAGUUAGAAGGUAGGUCCUGAAAACCUCUUUCCCUCUCCAGUUUGCUUUUUGUCCACUGGGAGAAAUGAGUGAAACUGCAUGAGCAGACUAUCUACACCUGGUCCUAGGGUUUUCUUUCCCUCAAGGCUAACAUUUUGCUAGAUAAAAUUUGCAUGUAAUGGUUUCUAAGUUCCUCUUCUUCAUGUUCUCCAGUCAAUCAUAAUUUCCUUGUGACGUAUGAGGCCAAGUUUGAAAGAAUCCCAUAUAAACAGGGAAGGGAAAAAAAUAACUUUUCAAAGAUAAUGCUUUUUUCCAUAUCACUUUUAAAGGGUAAUCUUUAUUCUUUCUAAAUCUUGGAUACUUGACUAAGUAAGAAAAUAAAAGUUGGAGUGGUGGCACAUGCCUGUAAUGUCAGCACUUGGGAGGCUGAGGCAGGAGGAUCACCUUGAGUUUGAGGACAGCCUGGGCUACAUAGUGAGUUCAAGGCCAGCCUAAAGUACAUAACAUAACCUAUUCCAAAAAAAUCACAAAAAAAAGGAAAAAGAAAAGAAAAAAUAUAGAAAGGGCUGAGGUCCUCCCACCCCAGAAAGCUUUAGUUUUAAUGUCUUAUUUGAAAAUAUCAGGCAAUGUGUUCUCACGUCUAUGCCUUUUCUCAUCAUCACCCACGUCUGGCUUUGGGUAUGAAGAUGUCCUUACCUACUCAUGGAGCACCUGCCACCGCAGCACCUUGGUGUGGCCAAAUGACAACAUGAAGCACCGCUGUGUGCUGGCUGCCACAGUGUCACUAGACACACUGCACAGCUGCACACCAUACUGAGCUCCACUGCAUUCCCACCGCCCGCAUGGUGGGGACUGGUGUCCCCUGAACAGACGAGGGGGCAGAGGCAGGAGGGUGCAGAUGGGGCAAGCUCUGUGGUCAUGCUGCCCUUACCAAAGAAAGCAGAGGCAUCUGCCACCCGCCUUGAAAACGUAAGGUCCCAAGUUCAAUGCCUGGUACCAAAAAAGAUCAAAAAAUAGAAAGCAGAGGCAAAGAGGACUGUUUAGUUACUCCCAACCUUUCAGAUCACAGAGCAGCUGCCCACAGUCCAAGUCUGUUUCACUAUUUCUCUCCUCCGAGAGCUGUGGGUGUGCGGCUGCUGUCACUUUCUCCCUGCUGAUUUAUUUAUUCAGGUGAAUCUCACUUUGCUGCAAAGGAGAACUUGUGGCAGCUUGUUGAUUGUUUGAGUGUUUUUGUCCAAGUCUGCUUGGUUUCCCUGGGAACUGGUCAUGCAGAUUUCUCGGAAACAGGACUCUGCUGAGCACAAAGCUGAGACUCCAUCUGGUGUUUCCAGUGCUCAGUCAUUAAGAUCUUGGAAAAGUAUCAAAGCUCUGCCUCCCGGGAACUUUCCACCAAAAUCUGUCCUCUGGCAUGGCAGAACGUGCUCAGAAAGUAUCAAGAUAAGAAAAACCCCCAUAAAAUAGACUUCUGAUUUCUGCUCCCAGUUCCUAGCACAGGGCUCCCCGUCCUGUGGCAUUUCCUGCAUUAUAGGAGCACCUUUGUCCUAGAGCUGUGGCCUUGCUGGCCUCCGGUCACUGACAUAUCAAGAUGGGAGUAGACGCUUGGGCAUUUCAGCCCUGACUCCCAUCUUCCAGUGAGGGGAGGAGAACUGGAGAUCUUGUUAAUAAUCGUCAUACUCAUCAGACCCAGGGGAUGAAACCUUUACAAAAAUCUGCUAGCUUUGGGGUUUGGAGAGUCUCUGGGGUGCUGGACAAAGCACUUUGCCCAUGUGUCUGGCUGUUAUCUCUCUCCUACUUCCACCCACUAUGAGUAGUGAGUGGGCUCAUGUGUUUCCCGGAGGUCUGGAGCCAUUCUUCUCAAUUACCAGUGUGAGAAGGGGUCUCGGAGCCCAGGUUAAUGGUGGCUGAAGGACAGUGUCUUGGUGAGGGGUAGUCUUGUGGGUAGAGAACUGAACCCCUGGGACGGCACUGACUCUGGUUAGUGUCAGAACUGAGCUGAAUUCAGGAUACCUGCUGGUGCCAGAGAAUUGCAUGGAGGGGGAAAACACCUGUACACAUCUGAGUGCGACUGGAGAGGAGAAAAAGAUCCUUGGUUUUAAAAUCUAUUUCAUAUAUAUUUUUAGAUUGCUCAGAAUGAUCUGCAACUCCACAAGGAGCAAGGCAGGCACUUAUGAAUGGGAAUAGUAAAAGGUGCUCUAGGGCCAGGUGGCAUCUCUCCAUCAUUCAGAUGUCCUUAGUUCAAUCCCAAGCUCCUGCACUUAGGUCACAAAUUUCCAUUUGUCCAUGGAGGGUUUUCCUUUUCAAAACACUUUGUGUUGCCUUGUGAAGUUGGGAUAUAACUAUGGAAACCAAAUGGUACUUCCUUUGGUCUGCUGAAAAUCAGAAAAGAAAUUCUGUGCCACCGAUGGGCUUUGCUUUAAAUUUAAUGGCAUGAGGUUAACUCUUGGAGGCUCUGAUGAUACAACCUAGUGUUCCUUCAAACACCACAGGCUGGGAAAGUGUGGCACCUGUGGCGAGGGCUCUCUCAGCCCAGCAGGGGCUGCCAUCCAAGAACAAGUCAGACUGCGAACACCUGGAUGCACAGGUGGAUUUCAUUUCAUCUCAUCUCCCAGAUGGGUCAUAUGAUGGGUGGUUAGAAACUUUGCACGAGUAAGGCAUACAACAUGGUGCUCUGGUGUAUGCAAACAUGUGACACAAGCCCUACACUCUUGAUUGACCCCUGCAUCACCCCUCAUUGUCUCCCUUUUCUUUCCUUGUGGUGAGAGCACUUGACGUCAGCUGUUUGAGUGAAUUUGAGCACAUGGCACAGUGUCAUUCAUGGCAGUCCCUGCACUGCCAUCAGACCUGAGCUCAUCCGUCUUGUUGCUGCUGUUGUCCCCUUCGACCAGAAUCUCUCACCCUCCCCACCCAGCCCUUGGCAAUGGCCAUCCUGGUCCCUGAAGGUCAUGUUCGUGGUCCUUUGUCCCUUGGGAACUCAUGGGGACAAAAGGAGGAGUCCUGACAUGGCUGCAUCCCUAACCCUCCUGCCUGUGAUUAGUGCACAGUCCUUAUUUGGCCAGAUCAGCCUGCUGGCCUCAGCGCAUUUAUUUACUUGUUGAAAUUCAAAAAGUUCUUUUUAUGAGUACAUGUUUGCAUUACAUAAUGUUUACAUUCACUCUAGGGGAUAGCUACAUGUGCGUAACAUAACUUAAUUCUUUUCACUCCUCUUUCCUUCCCCUACCCCUUCCUCUGCCUCUGGAUCCCCUUCCUAUUUCCAAAAGAUCGAUCUCCCUGUUUCCAUUUUUACAUCUGAAGUUUGGAUGCAUCUUGCAGGAGAUGACAGAUUCUAGUGACAUGGUGGCAUUCUCUUCUUUUGUUGUGCUUACUACAGUGGGUUACAUUUUGUUCAGACCACUGUGCCACAGUGGUUGCAAACUCAGACUGUACUUUGAAGCUGAGCAGUAACUGCCAGAUUCCAUGGCAGGUGAAUUGGAUUGGUAUCUCACUGGGCAAAGUGCCAUGAAGCCCACUUUGGGAAGCAAGCUGAGGUCUCUCAUAAACACUGUUAAGUUUUCAAAGCGCAGUAUUCAGGGCCAGGGAUUUAGCUCAGUGGUUCCGGUGCCUGCCUCACAAGCACAAGGUCCUGAGUUUGAUCCCUGGUACCUAAAAAAAAAAACAAACAAAAAACAAAGUGCAGCAUUCCCAGAGAUCCAUUCUUAAACCAAAUUUGGGUAAAUCAAAGCAAAAUUUACAAUAAAUAUUAGUGGAAAUAUUAAUAAAAUAAUAUUUUGUUAAUAAAUUAGGAAAAUGAAAGGGCUAGGGAAAAUAGUUCUGAACUAUAUCUAUGUAUGCAAUGACAAAAUAUUAUAAUUAAAACCAUGUGCAUUAAUGCAAUUUUAAAAAAAUACAGAAAUAUGGACAGUGCUCCACAUGGGUCAUUUCUGGUUGACAAAGAGUAAAGAAUGAAACUUGGAUGAUAUAGUAGAAGAAAGUAGAAAGAGAAAGGUGUCCUGGUUUUGUUCUAGAAAGUUUCCCAACAUCUUGUGUGUUCAGAGGAGGGGCUUUUGGCAGGUGACUGAAUCAUGAGGACCCUAUACUCACAAGUGGAUUAAUCCAUCCCUGAGUUCAUAGCCAACUGUGCCACUAGGACGCAGGACUUGGUUGGAGCUGUGUCACUGGAGUACGACUGGAAGGGUGUGAUCUUGUUCCUGAUCCUCCCUUCUCUCUUUGCUUCUGGGCUGCCAUAGAUUGAGCAGAGCCAAAAUAAAUUUCUCUUCCUUUUCUAUGUUAUAGAAAACUUAGAAAUGUGACAUAGUCACAUAGUAUGUGACAGGAAAGUAACUAAUAUCAAGGUAGAGGAAAAGAGGAGAAAGGAAGAGAGAAUGAGAGAGGAGAAAAAGGGUCUAUUGGGUGAGAUCACAGAAGUAAUAGCUCACAUGCACCCCAGUGUUCUCAAGGCAAGGCCAGGUAAGACAAGGACAGGGCAGGAGAUGGCAGAAUGGCCUCCACCUGGCUUCGAGGCCACCACCUCCUCUUUUAGAACCUGCUGUCUUCUCUCUGCAGAAGAUCUCCAUAGGGAAACCACACUGGAGGAUUAAUCUUGCAUCUGUCUUCAUCAUCUCCACACCAAAAAUAAUUCCUAGCCAGUAUCUCCAUUUCUCUUUGGAUGUUUCUCUUGGUAACUGGCCAAGGAAGUGAAGGGAAGAGUUGCUGACAAGCCAUCCUCAUGGCCUUGGGUGUCAAGUUUCAAAGUGGAGCUCACAUUCACAAAAUAAAGUGUAAGGAGAGAACUCUAGUUAUCUGUGGUUCAAAAGGAAAGCUGGACACAGCCAGGAGAGUCUGUAACACAGCACUCCCAAGGCUCCUCCAUGGAGAAAGACCUCUCUGUGUGUGAGGCUGAGGGUGCAUUAAGACCUGGAAUUUGAAUGGUCUCAUACUGAAUACAUACUGAGUAGGUCACAAACCAUGGAUGAGGAAUGGGGUAAAUCAAGGGCAAAUGGAAGACAAUCAGGACAAGUCAGAGAAAAUGUCUUCCUCUUUAGCCUGUGCUUUAGUUUUGAGGAACAAGUCAGAAGAAUUAGAUUAGUGUUUAUUUUAACUUCAAUGGACUUAAUGGUUUUCUGUUCUGUUCUCUUCUGCCUUUUCCUUCCUCACCUUCCUCCUCCUUUCCCUAUCCUACCCUCCCCUCAUCUCUGUCUCUGCUCUGUCUCUCUCUCCUGGGCUCCACACUCAGGCCACAUUCUCUUUGUUAAUAAAUGUUUAUAAUAUCCAUUUUCUGGUACUAAAACUAGAUCCAUUGAUAAACUAUCUAAAUACAAUAUUAAACAUUUAAAUAUACUGCUGUCUUAGUCACUUUUCUUGUAGUUGGGCCAAAAUACACUCACAACUUAAAGGAAAGGUUUAGGGCCAGGGAUUUAGCUCAGUGGUUUCGCCGCCUGCUGCGCAAGCACAAGGACCCGAGUUCGAUCCCUGGUACCAAAAAAAAAAAAAAAGGAAAGGUUUAUUUUGGCUCACCUUUUUACCUCAGGCUCAGCUGGUUCCAAGUCAGGAAGAGCAUGGUGGAAGGGUCUGGUGGAAAAGAGAUGCUCACCUCAUGGUGGACAGGAAGCAAAUAGUGGAGGUGCUGGGGAGGGAAUAAAUCCUUUCAGGCCAUGCCCCCAGUGACUGUCUCCAACCACUCUGCCUCCCAACAGCAGGUCAACUCUAAGCUCCCAUGAUUCAAUCCUUCUUGAAAGCCUUGUCAGUGAACUCAUGAGGCCUUUGGUGGACAUUCUUGAUCUAAACCAUAAAACAGUUAUUCUAACCAUAACGUAAAGAAGAAAUAAAUGUCCUUGCUUAUACUCACACUUGGAUAUGCCUGGAUCAGGAGAUAGGAAAGGCUCUGUGGUGCUGUAGCCACUCACAGAGAAGUGGUAAUGCAACAGCUGCUGAUGAGUCUGAAACAGUGUUUGCUUCACUGGAUGUCCAAGUACCACGGGUAGCACUGCCUUCCGCAAGGUGACUUUCUCCUGUGGUGAAAAAUCCUUCAUCAACUUCUGGAAAAAAAUUAAGUUUCCUUCAAGACUGCAUUUCUGGAAACUUCAGUAUGUGUUAAAAUGAUACAAAAAGUGCUUUGUAUUUUUCUGGAAGACUUUUGCCUAGGCUCAGUUUAUGCCUACAGUCAGGUCUAGUAGGAUACAUAUUUGUCAUUUUUAUAGAGUGAGGGUGAUUUGCUGUACCAUGCUGUUGUGUGUAUGGCAGAAUGUCUGGUAGCCUCAAAUUCUAUCUGCUGGACAAAGCCCUUUCCCUUAGACUGACAACCAAAAAUAUUCCCAAUGUGUUUCCAGCUCCCAUCUCAUGGAGACCCUGGUGAGGCUGAGGGGAAAAGAAACAUUGUUGGUGGGAGUGUAACUGGUACAACCACUAUGGAAAUCAAUACAGAGAUUCCUCAAAAAACUGAAACUAGAAUUGCUAUUUGACCCCGCUAAUCCCUUUCUAGGUAUCUUUCCAAAAUAAUUACAGACAUUCACAGCACAGUGCUCCACGCACACCAUGUUUAUAGUAGUACAGUUCAUAAGAGCAACCUUGGAAGUGACCUAUAUGUCCAUCACCAGAUGAAUGGAUAAAGCAAACAUGAUAUUUAUAUAAAAUGGAGUACAGACAUUUCUUGCUUAAUGUUCUGCCUGUUUAAUGACUGUUUGGACUAACCGCUGAGGUGUGCUGUUCGGACUUACCAUCUGCUGCUCAGACUUAUGCCCUGUCUCAAUGUCUUUUUUGGGUACAGUAUACAUUUUAUACAGUACUGUGAGAUUUGCUGAUUGUACUAUACAGUACUACAGUUUAUAUGCUGUUAUACAUUACAGUACUGCAUGUGAGAGUCAUGCAAACAAAGCAAAUUCAUUAAGUUGGAGUUUCCUCUGACCAUUUCUUGGUUCUGAAUAUUGUAAUGUACUUACUGUAUACAUUUUUUCAUUUAGCGACAAUGGCCUAGUCACAGGAACAGAACUUGGUUGUUAAAUGAGGAGUGGCUGUACUACUCUGCCAUAAAGGAUAAACUGGAGUCAUUUGUAGGAAAAUGGAUGCACUUUGAGACCAUGAUGUUAAGUACAAUCAGCCAUACACACAAACUUCAGUAUUGCUGGUUUCUCUUAUAUGAGAAACCCAAAGUAUAAAUAAAGAGAAAAAUAAAAGAUAAAUGAUAGGAAACAGUGAAAUAGAUCUUGCAAAUGGGAGAGGAUCCAGAGAUGGAAGGAGGGGACAGAGAGGGAAGGGAGAGAAGAAUAAAAAGAAUUAAGAGAUGUUCAAUACUCAUACCUGCCCUCUAAGAUGUAUCCAAACAUUAUGUACUAUAAACUAAUAAAAACUAAUUAUGCACUGUGCUAGUAUAAAUUUUUUAAAAAGAAGAGAAAGCUGGUCAUGGACUUUCCCAGAUUUCUGUGUCCAAGUGCUGGUCUAUAGGACAGUUGGUAGCUCCUUAAACACACUGGCUCUAGGCAGGGGUCCCUGGGAUGUCCGGACAGCCCUGCUGCAUGGCGGGGCAGUCCAGGCCAGACCUCUGUUGUAUUCCCCUUCCCCAUCCCUUCCCUCAGCUUGGUGGGUCCAGUUCCAGGCCUGCAGGCCCCUCCAGGCUUGAGAUGCAAGGCCCACUCCUGCUCGAGCACAGAGCCCACCCUGGUGACCCCAGUGGAGUCCUGGAGGUCUUGGUUGAUGAUUCCCACUCACCAAUGCUCCAUCCUCCACUCUGCCCUGCUUUUGUUCAGGACCCCAGUUGGGCUAAGAUGAGAAGUGCUCUCCUCUGGCUCUCAGACUUGGAAGUUCCCUUGGCCAAGGUGGCAUCCACCUGACUGCAGAAGGAGCCAGGUCAGGGAAGUGUCCCAAUAUGAACCCCUGCAUGAUAAAGGACAGCCCUAGUGAAGGAAACAAAGACUGCUAAGCUAAUUCUAAUGGGUGUGGGAAAGAGUUAGGGUAGAAAGAAAAUCUAAUGAAACAGGAGAGACUGAAAACUACUGCAGUCAGGACAAAGACUUUUAGUGGGCAGAGGAAGUGAUCCAUUUAUUUAUUCAAUCAUAUUUAUUAUUUAUUAGUUCUUUUGAGACAGGGUCUCACUAUGUAGUUCAGGUUUGCCUUGACCUUACUAUGUAGCCUAGGCUGCCCUUGAACUCACAGUGAUCCUCCUGCCUCAGCCUCUUUGAGUACUGCGGUUACACCAGGCCCAGCCUUCAAUCAUAUUUAAUAUACAUCUCUUCAUUCCAUGCUUUAUUCAAAACAAUGAUCACAUCACAAUGAACAGAAACCGGCCAAAGCCCUAUGUUUGUUAAUAAACAAGAUCAAGAAUGAUUAGAUUAGGAUGACAUGUGGUGUGAAACACUAGUCGGGACUUCAGAUUUCACACCUGUGCGUGUGUGUGACAUCUAAUGACAAUGUCUGACAGCUUGGAAUUUGCAUUUGGCAAGGGGAGUAGUUUCUUUGGAAGCAAGGAUUUGGACUUUUGUAGUUUUGCAGGAACAAGAAGGACAUAUUGCAGUUAUUAAGACAGGAAAUGAUUCAAGUUUGAGUAAAACUUUUUAACACUGAAAAAUGGAGGGAAAUAGAACCACUUUGCCAGGGAAAUAAUUAAAUUUCUUAGUUUACGUAAAGAAUAUUGUGCAACUUCUUAGUGCAAACUGAACUUUUGUUCCCUUGAAUUCCCUCAUUAUCUUUGAGUAGUGUUUAGAUUUCAGUUCCUGAUAGUUCUUCACAACAUUGGCUGAGUUCCCCCAUCCUGCCCCUAAGAGACCAAGUUAUUUAUGCAUUUCAUACUUGGCUACUUUAGAAUUAAGUGUUUGCGCAGAAGUACCCUGCUUUUUAAAAUGUGGUUUGGUCGGUGUUUUUGGAAUGAGGAAUCCAUCACUAGUGCCUGGUGUAGGCUUUUCCAGCCAGCAGUACUGGCCCACUCUUUAUCAAAAAACUCCCAAUCCAAAAUGACAUUAGACUAUGAGUUUAUACCAAAAGCACUUCAGUAAUAUUUACCUAUGUAUUUGCAUAGUAUUGUUCUGUUAAAAUGUGGAUGAAUGCACAAAAUAUCUGUAAUUUUCUCAACAACUCUCUGGCAUAACUGAGCAGGUAUUACUGUGCCAUUUCCUAUAUUCAAAACCCUGAGUAAAUUGCCCAGAUAUCACUAAUAUCUUGCAGAUAACAGUUACUUCUACCACUGAGUGUGUGUCAGACAAUGCAAAUGGUUCUUUUAAGUUAACUUAUUCAGUUCUCACAGAAACCUGAUAAGGUGGAAACUAUUAACACAGGCAUGGUGGCUUGAGAUGGAUGUAUAUUCUGAGAAAUGUGUCUUAGGUGAUUCCACCACUGCACAAAUGUCCCAGAGCAUGUUCAUACAAAGUAAGGUGAACAUGCUGUCACUAGGCAGUAUACACUCAGGGGACCACUGCUGCAUACGUGGUCAGUCGUUGGCCAGUGUGUCAUUAUGUAGCACAGGGCUGUACUAUUAUUUUACCAUUGAGGAAACUAAGAUACAAGAGACAUGCAGUGACUAUGCUCAGCACCCACACACACGCCAUGGUAGAGCUGGGGGCUAAGCUGGGGUACAGUGUGGAGAGGUCAGGCCCCAUCAUGCACAUGAGUAACCACCCUGCUAAGAUUCCUCUAACACUAGGAAGCAAACCUCCAGCUCCUACCUACUUGAGGGUGUUUUUACUUUGUAAAUAGUGACCCCACUUCAGUGAAAGCAGCAGUGUGAAUGGGAAUGGAGAGGACCCCAGCUUUGGAGAGGACACCCAGCCCCUAUUCAACCCUUCUACUCUGCUGGGUCCUGGGCAAGACUGUAGCUCUCUGGGGUGAUUUACCAUCUGUUAAACAAGGAAGGCACACUGCUUGCAGUGUGCUGAGCUUUGAGGGGGAUGUGAUACGAAGGUGUCCAACUUAUGGUCAGCUACCUAGUGUGCCUCUAAUUAGUGUACUUCCUAAUUAGUGCACUAGUUAGUGCAUUUCCUCUAAUUUUCAGUCAAUUAUUGGUUACAGAUCAGCUGAACAGUUAAGAAAGCAGGGACUGAGUAAACUGGAAGUGGUGCUGGUGGCUCCAUACAACCCUGGGAGAAUUCAGGGUGGGACUCACGCUGCCUAAAACAGCAGUGGAAAUCUCAGUGGUGACUUAGGUUAAGCCCUAGGUGGGUUGCUGUUCUGAGAAGCAUCAUUUCAAAGGCUGAGUGGUAGGGAAAGAAGCCGAGGUGGAGGGUAACUGUUCCUUCCCACCUCUUGGUUUGUCCCUUGUCUUUUCCCUGGGAAGGAGCUUCCAUUACCUGUGCGGUGGCUCUUUAGAGCUGUGAAAAUGGAGUGGAGAACACAAGUUCUCAGGCUUUUGGCCCAAGGACAUUUCACACUCUUAAAAAUGAUAGAGAAUAUUAAUGAGCUUUGUGUGUAUGGUUAGCUCAACUAAUAUUAAAUAUAUCAGAAAUUAAAACUCAGAAGUUAAAAAAAUAAAUUGUUAUGGGCUAUUAAAAUACAAAUAAACUUGUACCUACUCAUAUAAAUAACAUUUCUCUUAUAAAAUAAUUAUGUUUUAAAAAACAGAAAAGCUAGAAGGUUGCCAAAAUUAGUUUACAUUGUUUGGAAAAUUUCUUUCAUAUUUAUCCCAAGAGGCAGUUGAAUUUUCACAUCUUCUGCUACAUUUGAAUUCUGAAAUACUAUACAUCAUGUAGGUUCUGGAAAACCUCUCUGAACACAUGUGAGAGAAAAGUGUGUGAAAAAGGCACAUAUGGUCUUUGAAUUAAUAUGAAAGUGGUUUUGACCUUAAGGACCUUCUGAAAGGGUCUUGGGGCCUUUGAAAUUUCCUGUAUAGUUAAAAAAUAUUUUUAUAGUUUAAUACUUUUUAUAGUUUAUUUUAUUUUUAUAGUUUAACACUUAUGGGCUAGAGUGUGAUAUUUUGGUGUAGGUGUACAGCGUGUGUUGCUGAGAUCAGGGUGAGCGGCAGAUCAGCACCUCAGAUGUGUGUCAUUUCUUAGUGUGAGGGACAUUUGGAAUCCUCUCUACUAGCUUUUUUUUUUGGAAACAGACAAUGAAUUGUUUUCAGUCACAUUUACCCUAUGAUGCUAGGAACUUUAGAAGUUAUUCUUUCUAUCCAGCUGCACUUUUGUUCCCAUGAAGCAUCCUCUCUCCAUCCCCACCCCAUCCACUCUUCCCAGCCUCUGGUAACCACUAUUCUCCUUAGUUCUAUGAGAUCAAAUUUUUUGGUUUCCACAUACAAUUGAGAACAUGUGGCAUUUGUCUUUGUGUGCCUUGCUUAUUUUACCAAAUGUAAUGUCCUCCAGUUUCACCCCAUGUUGCUAAAAAUGACAGUGUUUUACUCUUGAAAUAGUUGAAUAAUUAUUCCAUCAUGUAAAUAUAUCACAUUGUCUUCAUCUGUUAACAAACACGUAGAUUAUUUCUAUAUCUUGGCUUGUGAGCCAUACUAAAAAUUUUAGUACUAUUUCUGGAAUAUUCUCAGAAUUCCCUCUUAAUUUCUCCCUUCUGAUGUUCAACCAGUGGCAAUUGGGAAUGAUUUUUCCUUCAAAUUUCUUGGGGUUGGUGGCCCUGGAGACAGCAGACUGGAUUCUUUGGCCUGCACACAUCUUCCUUGCUCCCUUUCUCCUUCCUUCUUUAUUCUCUCCUCAACUCCUUCACAGCUCUUCUUUCCCUUCCACUCCCAGGGGAGCCGAGGGAGAUUUCCCUCCUGGCUGGUGCCUCCUAACUGGUUCCUCUGCCUCUAGGACCCAACAGUGGACCCACAGCUGCUCUUAUCUGGUAUCUUUCACAGUGUACUUCUUUCCCCAAAAGCCUUGGUUUUGACUAACAUUGAUUAAUUGUGGAUUAUGUUGUUUAAUAAAGAUUUUAAGAAUGUUUCCAACCUGGAUUAAAAGAAAGUAUUUUUGACCAGUAUAAAGGAUGUCAGGCAUGUUCGCUGCUAUAAGAAACUGUUAGCAGAUUUCUGCUGCCUGCCAAGGUAGGGUAAUAGGGCCUAGAUUUACUGUAUCACCAGAAACAGCCAAAUAACUAGUCAAAAUACACAAAUCCAGGGUUUCUAAGAUACUGGAAGUCAGUCCCAAAGGACCAUGACCCUUGAGAGACAAGAAAGAAAGGGAUGAGCCCUCGAUUGCUCCUGUUCACUGAUGGAGUUUCCAGGCCAGAGCACAGGGAGGGGCGACCCAGGCACAGCUCAUAGAACAUCCUGAAUUGAUGAGAUGGAGGCAAGAUGCCAGGAAGGUCAGAGCAGCUGCAGUUUACAAGAAAGGAGACAGCAUCAGAGGGUCCUGCUUAGGAAUUCAGCAGAGUACUGACCUAUGCACACUUGAGAGAGAACGACUAUGCUCAGUGAAAGAACCACAUCAGAUGGAAUAGGGGAUGAGACCAGGAAUAAUCCCUCUUCCCACUGGCCAGACUGGAGAAUCACAUCAUUCCUGGGCAUUUGGUGGAGGACUCAGAAGUUGUAAGCUUCAGCAGUGGAGCCAGACUUGCCCUAGGCUAAAUGUUGCUGUUGUCUCACUCAAUGAUGAGUCUUAAAAGCAAGAUCCCCAGUCCCUACCAAAUCAAACUAUUUCCAAGAACUCAGAUGUAUCCAAAGCAGAAAAACAUCUCACAUCCAACAAGCUAUAAUCCACAGUGUUUGGCAUCCAACUGAAAAUUACCAGAUGAGUAACGUAGCAGGAAAGCAAUGAGGAGGAAAAGCAAUCAGUCAGAACCAAGGACUGAUGCAGAUGUUAGAACCAGCACUAAAACAGUUGUUAUAACUGUGUUUUGUGUGCACCAGAAGGUAACCAGAGAAAUGGGAGGUAUAAAAAGACAUACUUAUGUCUAACUUUUCCUAAAAGUAAACUCCACAUCCAAAUAACUUCCCUGGUGAAUUCUAAUAAGUACUUACAAAAGACCUAAUAUCAGGCCGGGGAUUUAGCUCUGUGGUUCCAGUGCCUGCCUCGCAAGUGCAAGGUGCUGAGUUCAAUCCCCGGUUAAAAAAAAAAAUCCAAUAUUAAUUCUACCCAAACCGUUUCAGAAAACUGAAAAGAAGUAAAUCCUCCUCAACUUCUGAUAUCUUCCCAGUUGUAUGAGACUAGCAUCACCUAGCCAUCAAAAUAAAAUAAGACACCAUGUUUCCCCGAAAAUAAGACCUAACUGGAAAAUAAACUUCAGGUGUAAUUAAUAGCUGGUUGUUUCCAUGGUAAUAACCAGUGCCAUGCAGAUUAUAUCUCACUCUCCUUUUGCUCCAUGGCUCUGAAAUGGCAAGUAAGGCAAGUAAGGCAAAGACAGGCUGAUCAGGGCUAACAUUUUUGAUCUCUAGUUAGAUCUCACUCUUGGGGAAACACGACAUAACAAGAAAAGUACAGACCAGUAUUCCUCAUGAACCCAGACAUAAGAAUUCUAAAUCGAAUACUUGUAGAUAAAAUCCAACAAUAUAUAAAAAGGCAAACACAUUGUAACUAGGUUGGCCUUAUUCCCAAAAUGUAAGAUUGUCUUAGCAUGGAAAAUCAAGAAGUGUAAACCACCAUAUUAAUAAAACUAAAAAUCACAUGACCAUCUCAAUAGAUGCAGAAAAAGCAUUUGUCAAAAUCCAGCAUUGAUUUCUGAUAAACCUCUCAGCAAAUAAAGAAUAGGAAGAAGUUUCCUCAACUUGCUAGUGAGUACCUGAGAAAAACCUAGAGCCAACAUCAUUGUAAAUGUAACCAUACCCACUAAAGCCAGGGGCAAGUCAAGAGUGUUCACUGUCUUAUUUCUAUUCAAUAUUGUACAAGUGAGCUGAUAAAAAAAAGGUAAGCAAAAGAGAUACAAGCCACCUAUAUCAGAAAGGAAACUGUAUUUGCAGUUAACACGUUGUUCUGUGUCUAAAAUCCUAUGGAAUUUAUACAAAGGUUAACAGAGCCAAUAAGCGAGGUUACAAGAUAAACAUACAAAAUUAAUUGUAUAUCUUUAUACUAUACUAAUACUGUACAUUCAGCAAAUGAAAUGAAAAAGCAGGAACUUUUGCAAUAGAUCAAUAAUGUCUAAAACUUAGAUAGGUAGAUAACCUACAAAACAUAUGCAAGACCUGUACAUAAGGAGGUGGUGAUGGCAGAGACCACUCUGUCCCCAAGCCCAUAGUGUGGCCAGCACCGUCCUUGCGGGUGUCCUCUGUCCUCUAUCCAUUCUUCCCCAUCAGCACUCCCUGUGUGAAGUCUGUUUUAGGGACUCUCCCAGAUUGUUGGCUUUCGCUGGGUCUUUGAGGUACCUGUACCUACAGCCUGACACGUACAGUGGAGAAAGCAGAAAAAGCCCUCACUCCCUCCUCAUUGCUGCUUUCCUACAAAGCUCCUCUUCUUGUCUUGAGGAAGCAUAGGAAGGAAACUCUGCUUCUAGAAAGCUGGUGGCAGCUUUUAGCAUUUAAGCUUUUCUGUGCUGGGCAGGUACCCUGGAUUCUGGGGAAACCCUGGAUCCUGGGGCACCCACACUUCUUUUCUGUGGUCACCUUUUCUCUCAGAGAUGCUCUCAGAGUCUCUUAGAGACAUAUUAAGAGGGAAAGCACCAUACAUGGAGAAUAAACAAAAAGAAAUGACAGAAAUAUAGAGCAUAAUAAGACUUCACAAUUUUAUUUGCUAAUGUAAUUAUAUCUUCAGUCCUUUAACCAAAAGGCAGUGCCAAUUUUAUGACCCUGUGACAGGCAGCCACAUCUUUGGCUCUACUGGAAAUCACUGCUGGGGCAGAGGAUGUUUGAGGUAAUGAGAUAAGGAGCCCUUUACAUCCUCCUCUGCAGCUGGUUCUCACACUCUUGAUUUUGAUCUAGUUGAAUCCUUGUGUUUUAAAACAAAUAAUAGAGAUUUCCCAUUCCCCUGAAAUACAUAGGUUCAGCUCUCUGAAGAUCUUGCUUUUAUUUUUACUAGCAAAUUUAAAAUAUAGAUGUGAAAUUAUAUAUUUACAAAGAAUUAUAUGAAGGAAUGUGAAGUAACUAUAAUGAUAUAGAAGUUGAGUACCUAAACUAGAGGAAACUGAGCAGGUAGAAUUUAACUGAGCAAUGAAAGAUGGACUGAAUGUUGAUCAAAAGGAAGGAAGAAGUGUGUACAGGAGAUUCUUCUUCAGCUAUAGAGUUAAAACAACGUGUCAAUUUUGAUGAAGACCAGCUUUCUAGAGACAGGUCUUUGUCCCAGAGGCCCUGAAUUAUUUAGACUUUAAUCAGUAAUAUCCAGAGCAGCAUUUCACAGCACUCCAGGGUCCUGUGAUUACUUUACUCAGGAUGGGAGCCCUUAGCCAGGUGUGGUUCUUGGGGUCUGGAGAUGUGUUAGUACAUCCGAGGAAGUGAAUUUUAAAUUUUAUUUAAUUUUAAAUAACUUAAAUAGCCAGAUGUUUCUAGAGAUUAGAUAUGUUGGAUGGCACAGAUUUAGAGGAACAAGAGAGGGAAUCCUGAUACCUCCUUCCUGAGAGUCCAUGUCAAAGUCACAUUCAGGAUGCCCUUUGUUCUGCCCAAAGUCUGGUCCAAUCUACAUCCUGAGUCUUUCCUGUCAGUACUGAGGAGCUGAGCUGAUGGACUUCCACUGUUGUUACCCUCAGAAGAACUCAGGACUCAGUGUUCUUGGCCUCCUCCAAGGACAAUGCCAGCUGAGGUUCUGGAUCAUUAGCAGCAGCGCUCCUUGGCAAUCGAGAGUAGGAACAGCUCAGCUCCACCCAGGCCCUGAAAGCAAUGAUUCACACUUGAGAGUACACAAGGCAAAGCAAGAAUCGGUGAGACUGUGGCUCCCUCUUCCAACGCUGGGGCCUAGGGCUGAGAAUUUGCACAACCUCUCCUCAGCAGGGCGGCAGGGUGGUCAUGUGUCAUAGUAAAUAUUGCCGGACAGAAGUUCCUUGGUGCUGAGUUGUGGUCAGCUGGUCUAUCUUGAAGAAAGACAAGAGGAACAGGUGGGAGUUAAUAUACUCUUUGGGCAUUAGGGAAAUGAUUCAACAAGCGUGGCAUACCUGAGUGGCAGGAGUUUUCUUGUGCUUCUGUUGAUAGAAGAAAUGGUCUGCUUGUUGCACUUCCAAGGCCCUUUAAGAGCGGACACUUCCUGCUCAUGGGUUGUACUAUUUCUUAGUAAGUCAUUGGAAUGACAUUAGAAAUUUCAUCAUCCAGGUGGUUAGCAUUUUCCUAAGUAUAUAGGUAGAGCUACUUCUUUUACUCAGAAUAGUACAAAACAAAAUCUAUUUGGCCAUAUCAUAGCUCUCACUUUUCUUCUGUUUGCUAUUGAGAUCAUCAUAAGAACAAUCUGAAGGAAGCCCUCUGUAAUUGGACAAUACUCAGAGGAUGAGUACUGCUUCCAUUCUGAGUGACUUGACAUGUAAGGUUUACUUUGUAUGGCACAGUAUGUGCAAUAGGGAACCAGGACACAUUCCUGAGUGUGAUCAUAUUUUAUAUAACUAUUGUUGUGCUACAAUUGACCAUGAAACUUUGCGACUUAAAACAACAAUGUUGUUUAUGACUUUGUGGGUUGAUGGAGGCUCAGCUGGGUGGUUCUCAUUCAGAGCUUCAUAUGUAGAUGUAGUGAGACAACUGCUGACUGGAGUUGAUGGGUCUGACAUUCAAGAUGGUGCACUCUCAUGGCUGGAGGAACUGUCUCUUACUACAGUGAUCAUUUCAAAAGGAAACCACUUAGAAGAAAUUGGCAGUUGUAUUCAGAAGGGAUCACAAAGUUGAAAGGCUCCAACAUGAAAGUCUAGAUUUUGGAAGGUCCUUGUGGAAAAGGAAGAGUGAUAAAAUGGAGAGAACCAUUACAGAAACUUGCAGAGGAGCCAAGAUGGUGGAACCAUCUAGAAUCACAAGGGCAGGAGUACUAUAUUAACAAAUGAGUUCACAGAGCAGUGUGCCUUGUCACACAUCUGCCACAUGACUGAGCACAAAAGUUUCACCUGGCACUUCUUGGAUGGCAUGGGGAAGCUGGGAAGGGGUGCCUGUUGGGUGGUGAUCAUUUGGUUAUGGGUGCUUUAAAAUUUUUGUGUUAAAGUCAUCAUCCAACAAAAGACAGACCGUGUGUGGGUGUGUGUGUGUGUGUGUGUGUGUGUGUGUGAGAGAGAAAGAGAGAGAGGGAGAAGGAGAGAGAGGGAGAGAGGCCACUCAUCUGGCUCUGUAAGGUGUAGCAGGGCUAGGAAGUUACCAAGUCUGUCUGCCUCUGGAUGGAACUUGCUGUGCUGUUUCUGUGUUAAUUUGUGAUGUAAACCAGGCACAAAAGGCCUAUUUUGGGGUCAUUUGUCUUCAUUGAGGAAGAUUUAAAGCUUUAAUAGAACAAAAAAACUUGCCUGUCCAUCUUUUUUCUUCCUUUAUAAAGGAUGUUAAGAAAUGGUACAUUGCCUUGACAGUCUUGUGAUGCAAGUUACUCUUUCUCAUCAGCGCUUAUCUCUAGUUCACUUAUGGCUCUGUGCUUGUUAAAGAACUUACAAAAUCAGAGGAAUUUGAACAGAAGGGUGAUCAUAGAAACCUACGAACAAUUGCUUAGAAACAAGGAUGUUGAGCUGAUCAAAGCCAAGUGGUUGCAGUGGGGGUGAGGAGGUUGUGAAAGACACAGGUAAGAGAGGUGGUUUGGCGAUCAGUAGGUGGAAAAUGUGCAGGGGAAGCAGAAAAAAUUGGGCUGUAGAAGGAAGUCCAUCUGGGACAGUGGUUUCAAAUCUAUGCUGUGGUUCCGUGAGAGAUUACUGGCAGUUCCAUAAAUAGCAUCAAUAGGUGUAGCAAGUUCAGAAUCACAGAGGCCCCAUGUGCACAAACAUAAUACUCUUUAUUUCUCAACAAUUGAGGUCAACUUUGCUUGUGAAUUCCCAUUUGCGUAUGGAAAAGGUAUCCUGGAUUCACAGUGGUUUUGUUCCCACUGGCUCAAGACUUGGUUUUGGUCAGAACUCUUUCCCUGUUUUUGUUCUAGUUGGACAUCUUUGGGUGUGGUAGGGUGAAGGAGACAGAGUUGAUCAAGGGCUUCCCUGGUCUCUCGAGGUCCAUAGGUGUAUGCUGUUCCAUAGGUCACCGUGGGUCUGCCAAGCUCCAGGUUGUCCUGCCAGCCUCUACUUUGAGGGCUCUGGCAGGGUCUUGGCUGUUUUGCUGAACCCUCUGAUUAGUGCUGGUUGUUGUGAGGCUCAGGCAGUAAUGCUGCCAUGACUGAUCCUUGGCUCAAGUCAUGCUGGACACCCAGGGGUUUCUCCUGGGAUGCCAUGUGGUGUUUCUCUCCUCCAGAAUUCUUUAUCAAUCUCUUGCCUUGGGAGGAGAACCAGGAUUUGUUUUGCUUGAUGGUGGUGGAGAGUGGGGGACUGGGCCAUCUCUCAGAGACUGUCUGGAAUCUAAUGAACACCAGCCACUUCCCUCUGUUCCUCUCCUUCACACCUUCUGGUCAGCUCUGCUGCUCUGAGUCUGAGUAGGAAAACCAGCUUAACAUUUCCACAUGUUCUUCCCUACCCCAUGAUUAGGAUAUGAACUCUAUGGUUUAAGUUCCCCAAACUGGCUUUGGGGGUGCAAGGAAACAAGCGUGGAAAUGCUUCCCCUUUCAAGCUCUCAAGCCUAGUGUUUGUGUUUAUGAUGAACAAUCCUUAAAAAUUUUCUCUGACCCCAUGGCCCAUGGGGAAUGUUUCAAACACAGAUCAUAUUGUGUGAUUAGUGUGAUUUUAUUUAGCAUACAUUGGUGAGAAUCCUCCCCAGAGAGAGUCCCAGGGACUGGGCAGUCCUAGGUGGGGGCAGGACAGUGGCCUGGAGCAAAGGAAACAGAGCACAGAAUAGAGUUAGGGAGAGUGCUCAGAAUGGGGGAAUAAAGGAAGAGGUGACUUCAAGGACCCAAGUGAGACCUUCAAGGUUAUAUGGUAUUAACAUCCACAAUUUAAAAGAGGAAAAGUUUAAUUUGGCUCACGGUUUCAGGGGAUUCAGUCCAUGGUUAUCUGGCUCCAAGGCAGAAACAUCACGGUGGAAAAGCUUGGUGGAGAAAAGGUGCUCAGUCCAUGGAGUUCGGGAAGCGUACCAGGGAAACAGUGUCAGAGAGCAAGG